rnacentral:lncRNA from 1 species
GAAUGACGGUGCAUCUUACCCCUCGGAACCAGGUGCGAAGCCAACAGGUUUGUGCAGAAAGCGAGCCGGCGUCUUGUGCUGGGAGCUGGAGCGCGCCUCGGACGGAGAACGAAGGCACGAGUAUCCCGCGUUCCUUGUCCGCGCUCGUAUUGCUUUUGUCAGUGCAUCUAUUGCAUCCAGUGUGCCGCCUUGGGGGUGCUGUGCAGAUCGGUUGGCUAAGUAGGGGUGGAGGUGUUGAACUGCAUUCCCACUGACUUUAUGGAAGUAGACAGCUGGAUAGAGAAGAGGUUAUACCAUGAUUCCAGCUGGGAGAAGCAGUAAGGUGAGCUUG